rnacentral:rRNA from 1 species
CUACGGGAGGCAGCAGUGAGGAAUAUUGCGCAAUGGGGGAAACCCUGACGCAGCGACGCCGCGUGGAUGAUGAAGGCCUUCGGGUCGUAAAAUCCUGUCAGAAGGAAAGAAGUAUAUGGUAGCUAAUAUCUGCCAUAUUUGACGGUACCCUCAAAGGAAGCACCGGCUAACUCCGUGCCAGCAGCCGCGGUAAUACGGAGGGUGCACGCGUUGUUCGGAAUUACUGGGCGUAAAGCGCGCGUAGGCGGCUGUUUAAGUCAGAUGUGAAAGCCCAUGGCUUAACCAUGGACGUGCAUUUGAUACUGGGCAGCUUGAGUACUGGAGGGGGUGGUGGAAUUCCCGGUGUAGAGGUGAAAUUCGUAGAUAUCGGGAGGAAUACCGGUGGCGAAGGCGACCACCUGGCCAGAUACUGACGCUGAGGUGCGAAAGCGUGGGGAGCAAACAGGAUUAGAUACCCGUGUAGUC